rnacentral:rRNA from 1 species
CCCCCAGUAAGGGCGACUGAACGGGGAGGAGCCCAGCGCGGAACCUCGCGCGCCUCACCGGCUGCGUCUGAGGAAUGUCGCGUUCCGGAGGGGCCUUCUCCGACCACACCGACCCCCCCCAAGUCCGCUUGAACGCGGCCACUGCCCAUGGAGGGUGCGAGGCCCGUACGGGGAUUAGGAGUCGGGCGGUCGGACGGCCCCGUCCGUAGAGUCGGGUUGCCUACUAACGCAGCCC